UACGUAGGGUGCAAGCGUUAAUCGGAAUUACUGGGCGUAAAGCGUGCGCAGGCGGUGAUGUAAGACAGAUGUGAAAUCCCCGGGCUCAACCUGGGAACUGCAUUUGUGACUGCAUCGCUAGAGUACGGUAGAGGGGGAUGGAAUCCCGCGUGUAGCAGUGAAAUGCGUAGAUAUCGGAAGGAACACCAGUGGCGAAAGCGGCUUCCUGGUCCAGCACCGACGUUCAGGCACGAAAGCGUGGGGAGCAAACAGG
rnacentral:rRNA from 1 species